CCCAUGGUGUUAGGACCUCUCUGAGGGCAGCGAGGACACGGGGUGCGGGGAACCUUGGCAUUGAUCUUUUCCUUUUCAAGCACAGUGGACACUCCUGAUCAAACCACAGCUUCUCCAAGAGCUUGCUAAUUUUCUGCUCCCCUGCAGCUCUACCUGCCCCUGAACUUGGAAAUUCAAGACAGCUUGCUUUCCAGGCCUGGGGUCUCAGUCUGGUCACUGGCUUUGUCCAGGAGGCUGUCUGCACUCUUCCAUCCCACGGGAGGCUGGAGUGGGGACCCUCAGCACGCAGCCCAGGGUGGUGGCCUGGGCUGGGACCUGGAGAGAUGAACAUCAUCUCAAGAGGUGUCAGUUCACCUAAGUGGCGUGGCAGGUGUGCCAGGCCUCCAAAGCACCAAGCGGACUUUGUAAGGAGUAUGCCAGUGGCAACAGGCCAAGGGGCUAUCUGAUGGAUUCUCCAGGGGUGGAGAUGCUGAGCUCACAGAGCGGCUGCGACAGAAAGGGGAGUGACAUGUCCGUCAUCACAGUGCAUGUGCAUCUGGGGUGCUGCUGAUAUGGGGGCUGGCAGAUACCUCCAUAGGGCGGAGAUGCAGGAGGGAAGGGCCUCUGGUUGGGAUAGGGCAGCCUGACUCUUCCUAUCUCCCCUCCCCGUGCCUGUCCUCUCUUUUCUAUCUGGGCAGUCCCUAGCAGCAGACAGCUCAGCCUGGGGAAGCCGUGUCCGCUUUCACAUUCCCUUCUCCAGGCACCAUCAUUUACAGCCACUAGCAGGAGACAAUCACGAUACCUCCUCCCAGUCUGCCAAAUGGGAGAGUUCUGCAGCCCUCCCUGGGUCAAGACAUGGGGGUGGGGAGGUGGGAGAGGUAUGACAGGAAGGACUUAGCUGUGCUUUUAUAAACAGCAUUGCACAGGCACUUGAAUCACCAGACCACAGUGACACUCCCAGUGUGACAGGGUUACUCCUCAUCACUGAGUGCGGUUCAAUGAUGGGGGGGGGGUGGGGCUGGAGAGAUGGCUUAGCGGUUAAGCACUUGCCUGUGAAGCCUAAGGACCCCGGUUCAAGGCUCGAUUCCCCAGGACC